UGCAGUCAUUAUAGCGAGGAGGAUACACCUGUUCCCAUACCGAACACAGAAGUUAAGCUCCUUAGCGCCGAAGGUACUCGGACCGGAAGGUCCCGGGAGAAUAGGACGUGGCUGCGU
rfam:[Clostridium] litorale DSM 5388 strain W6 CLIT_16c, whole genome shotgun sequence.